rnacentral:rRNA from 1 species
GACGAACGCUGGCGGCGUGCUUAACACAUGCGAGUCGAACGGAAAAGCCCUGCUUUUGUGGGGUGCUCGAGUGGCGAACGGGUGAGUAACACGUGAGUAACCUGCCCUUGACUUUGGGAUAAAUUCAGGAAACUGGGGCUAAUACCGGAUAGGAGCUCCUGCUGCAGGGAGGGGGGUGGAAAGUUUCGGCGGUUGGGGAUGGACUCGCGGCUGAUCAGCUUGUUGGUGGGGUAGUGGCUUACCAAGGCUUUGACGGGUAGCCGGCCUGAGAGGGUGACCGGCCAGAUUGGGACUGAGAUACGGCCCAGACUCCUACGGGAGGCAGCAGUGGGGAAUAUUGCACAAUGGGCGGAAGCCUGAUGCAGCAACGCCGCGUGCGGGAUGAAGGCCUUCGGGUUGUAAACCGCUUUCGCCUGGGACGAAGCGUGAGUGACGGUAAUGGGUAAAGAAGCACCGGCUAACUACGUG